CAGUCGCCACGGUAAUACGGAGGAUCCGAGCGUUAUCCGGAUUUAUUGGGUUUAAAGGGUGCGUAGGCGGCUCAUUAAGUCAGGGGUGAAAGACGGUAGCUUAACUAUCGCAGUGCCUUUGAUACUGAUGAGCUUGAAUACACUUGAGGUAGGCGGAAUGUGACAAGUAGCGGUGAAAUGCAUAGAUAUGUCACAGAACACCAAUUGCGAAGGCAGCUUACUAAAGUGAGAUUGACGCUGAGGCACGAAAGCGUGGGGAUCAAACAGGAUUAGAUACCCCCGUAGUCCCUGUCUCUUAUCA
rnacentral:rRNA from 1 species